rnacentral:rRNA from 1 species
GAUGAACGCUGGCGGCGUGCUUAACACAUGCAAGUCGAACGAAGCACUCUAUUUGAUUUCCUUCGGGAUUGAUUAUUUUGUGACUGAGUGGCGGACGGGUGAGUAACGCGUGGGUAACCUGCCUUGUACAGGGGGAUAACAGUUGGAAACGGCUGCUAAUACCGCAUAAGCGCACAGUACCGCAUGGUAUAGUGUGAAAAACUCCGGUGGUAUAAGAUGGACCCGCGUUUGAUUAGCUGGUUGGUGGGGUAACGGCCUACCAAGGCGACGAUCAAUAGCCGACCUGAGAGGGUGACCGGCCACAUUGGGACUGAGACACGGCCCAAACUCCUACGGGAGGCAGCAGUGGGGGAAUAUUGCACAAUGGGCGAAAGCCUGACCCAGCAACGCCGCGUGAAGGAAG